rnacentral:lncRNA from 1 species
AGCUUGCUGGUUUUUAGAUCUUGAUUGCUUCAUAAUCAAAGAAAGAAAAAUAAGAGAAGAAGAGAAAAAGAGAAAAAGAAAAGGAUCAAAGAAUUGAUCGCGAUCCAGAUUUCGUUCAGAUUUGCAGACUGAUUUUUCUUAAGAAAGAAAAAUCAAUACUAAAGAGGGCUGUUCCAGACUGAUCCUAAGUAGAUAUCCAUAG